AGUGACCUCCCAUUGGAGUCAGUCACUUUAUCCCUAGACAUAAGGAUUCUCACUUAGUCAAAUGGAAACAAGAAUUAUCAGCAGAGAACAUUUACCAUGUGUGUGAAGUGGGUAAACAGCUGGUCAGUCUCCAACUAGGGCUUUUGUUUCCCUUUUAGAGCUGAAACCACAGGAAGAGGCCAAUAUGGACUUCUCUACUACUUUAUUUCCCCUGAGCCUGGUCAGCUUCUUCCAAGGAGAUUACUGGGAGGAAGCUUCUAGGAUUUCUGGACAUUGGAUUCCCUGCUGGUUUCCCCACCUGAUUAUUGAAAUUGAUUUCUGGAGUUCAGGAAAAAGCAAGUCAUCAUAUAUCAACCUAUUAUGUGUGUUAGGCUGUUUGCAUUAUCACAUUUAAUCCAUUUGACGCUGUGAAGGAGCAGGUAGUGUUAUCUGACUCAAGUCUGUCCUUCAAUUAAUCUCACCACCUCCAGGAUUCCUUUAUGCUCUUUGUCAAGAACUCUGGUAGAGCAAAGAAAAUGGGGAUAGUUUGUCACGUUCAAAAAUCGUAUUGACCAAGACUAUCCUCUCUCUCUCUCUCUUUUUUUUGAGACAGAGUCUCACUCUGUCACCAGGCUGGAGUGCAGUGGUGUAAUCUCAGCUCACUGCAACCUCCGCCUCCUGGGUUCAAGUGAUUCUCCUGCCUCAGCCUUCCGAGUAGCUGGGACUACAGGUGCAUGCCACCAUGCCCAGCUAAUUUUUGUAUUUUUAGUAGAAUCAGGGUUUCACCAUGUUGGCCAGGAUGGUCUCGAUCUCCUGACCUCGUGAUCUGCCCGCCUUGGCCUCCCAAAGUGCUGGGACUACAGGCAUGAGCCACUGUGCCUGGCUGAUAAUCCUCUUUUAAGAAGAAGGGGUAUAUAUUUACCUAGGGAAUUCCCUAGAGGAGAAGAGGCAGAAAGGCAUAAAAGGAGUAUAGUAAACUGAAAUCAAGACAUCUAAAUCUAAGACCUGGCUCCAUUACUGUACCCCUUUGGAACUUUGGGUAAAUUCUUAAUUCUUUCUGGGUCUCAAUUUUCUCUUUUAAUAAAACAAAGAUUUGGAGUAAUAAAACUCUAAAUUCCUUUCCAGCCCUAGGACCUUAUGGUCUACAGUGAGACUUCUUAUAUGAUUCUAGUUAGGGUAAAACAAUUCAGGAUUAAUAAUAGUUAUGUUAAGUACCCUAGGUUUUUAAGAGCUCAGUUUUGAUUAUGUAUAAUAAUGAGUUUGACAAAAAAAAAAAGUUGAGUAAAGAUGGAUGGCUGAAACCCUCAUUUAGCCUCUCUCUAGGCAGGGGAAUGAAUAGUUUGCAAGGGAAAGUUUAUUUUCUGGCAUUGUGCCAGAAGAAAACAGGAUAGGCCUAAUAAUAGUCUAAAAGAUGCAAGCACUUUGAGAUUCUUGCUUCCAUACCAUAGUCAGAUUCUCAGGGUCUCAGUAGACAUAGCCUUGGAGUUGGGCAGGGAGUCUUAAAGCAGCGAUCAUCACCUAGGUUUAAGCUGAGAUUCUUACUUUACAACGUGCCUUCUGCCCAAUGACUAAUGAAUGACACAGACAGUUAUGGGUACUGGGAGGUGGGAAUAAUCACUUAAGGGUGGCAGUGUUGGAGAAAAGUAUAAGGAGGUGACUGGGAGACUGGACCUUCUUUGAAGGUUGGGUAUGAUCUAGAGAAAUAGAGAAUAGUUGGGGUCUAAGAGCACAGAAAGAGAUGGAAUAUAUAGUAUAGCUGAGGAAAAAUAAAUGGGGCAGCUUAACACAAGCAACUCUGACAUAGAAGUCUUCUGAAUCAAAAGCAGAAUUUUGAGGCACUCAAGAAAGAGGGGUAUUAACUAUAUCGGUUAUAAACUUUUUAAAAAAGUGAUUUUACAGAGACUAAUCUGGAGCGGGUAGUUUUGAUAUCUUCAUAAGGAUGACCUUGCCUUGACUCAUUCUUUUAAACAUUUUUUUUUAUUUUUUAUUUUUUUGAGACAGAGUCUCGCUCUUUCGCCCAGGCUGGACUGCAGUGGCGCUAUCUCGGCUCACUGCAAGCUCCGCCUCCCGGGUUCACGCCAUUCUCCUGCCUCAGCCUCCUGAGUAGCUGGGACUACAGGCGCCUGCUACCACGCCUGGCUAAUUUUUUUUGCAUUUUUAGUAGAGACGGGGUUUCACCGUGUUAGCCAGGAUGGUCUCGAUCUCCUGACCUCGUGAUCCGCCCGCCUCAGCCUCCCAAAGUGCUGGGAUUACAGGCGUGAGCCACCGCGUCCGGCCGCCUUGACUCAUUCUUUAGCAUUAUUGUCCUUAUAGAAAGUAAUGCUAUUAAAAAUUUCAUGUGUACAUUGAGUCUUGAAUUUCUUUUGGCACCUGCUGUCUCCAUUGAUUCAACGCAAGGAAGCUGUGUUCUCUUCCUUGAGCUUUAUGAGUUUAAAGUACAGCCCAUCCUAUUGAGUGAGUUCUAUGGGGCCAUUGUCAAAUCUAAAAGUGCUUUACAAUGCUCCUGAGUAGAUGGCAUCCCACUGGGGUCAUAUCGUUCACUAAUUGAAGGUAACGUUCUUGGAUGAUAGCAAAAACCGUAUAUAGCUCUAAUAGCUGCUCUACAGAUAAGCCCAAGUGCUAUACCAAGCCAACCCCAAUCUGUUUAUAUAAACCAACUAUAAAAUAAUUUGCAUGCAAAAUAUUAUUUUACAAACUCCAAUAUCACAGGAGUAAACUAUCUAUUGAAAAGGCUGUAAAUAUUUGCAUAAAUGUUGCAUAAACAUGAUGGGCUUUAGUUUGGAGUCUUUGUUAACAUAAACAUUUUUAGAAUUAUCUUAACCUAAUUUAUUUUAGCUCUAGACCAAUUAAUAUUUAUUCAUAACCUAUGUCUUUGGUAACUUGCCUAACUAAAAAGAGCCUCUGACAUUUCUUUCCCCUGGUAUAAUUAAAAAUUAAAAUUUGUCAUCGGUAACUUAUAGAAAACUUUUUUCACGCUUAUUUUUAUCUUUUAUAAAUUAGUAUCUUGGAGCUCAAAAUUGCUCUUUGGAGUAAAAACUCUCUGUCUAGUUAUUUAAAGAAUCUAUAAAAUCCUUCCUUCCUUCCUUCCUCUUCCUUCCCUUCUUCCUUCCUUCCUUCCUUCCUUCUAGCAACUACAACAUCAUUUAGCAUGUAUAUACAUUUUAGUAAGCAAAGCAUGGGGAAUCAGAGGCAAAUUAUCCCCAAAUCUCUGCCUUCUAGGAAUACAAAGCCUAAGAGAACUAGAUCUAAAUAAAAACUGUAGGCUACAUGUAGAUUGAGUUGUCCUGCUUAUUGAGAUUAAAAUGAGAUUUAUUUCAACCCUAACCUGUAAGCUGUAGUAGCCUUGAAUCCCUCCCAAUCUUUCCAAAAGUACUUUUGAGAGGGAGGAUGGAGGGAGGGAAUAAGUGGUGAUUGGUAUGAUAUUUACAUGCCCCUUAACAUUUCUUGCUGCAUAUGCUGUUCCUCAAAUGCUGUUUCUGCACCAUAUUGUCCAAGAUGUGAAACACAGUCUCUUUACCCCUGAGAACUUCACUCACACAAGACAUUUGCUUGUGUGGUAGACUUUGCUGAAAGCUUGAGAUGAUGGAGGGGUUUCACACAGCCCAUUAUUUGCCCCCUCCCUUGAUACACAUCCUUUUCUACAUUGUCCACGUCUCCACCCUAUUAACACAGAAGAGAGAAGCUGAAGAGGAUUUUGGAAAGUAAGGGAUGAGACAAAGCAUGAAAGAUGACCAGGUGCUACCCAAGUUGUGGGACACUUUGCUGAAGAGAGGGAUCCCUGUCCUCGUGUGAUAGGCAGAACCUUCAUCUUUCUUCUUCGUGCUCUCCUGUCCAUGGACUCUUCGGUGUCUGCUUAGCAUGAGCCACCAACUCCCAUCUCACAUUUCAGUGGCACUGAAGAAUUGCAGAAACUUUGAAAUUUUCUUUCUCUUCUUUCGCUUCUCUGGCAUAAAGGAAAGUAAGCACUAUACAGAUUAAUUGAUAUUGAAUUAGGCCAUUUCUUUUAGAAGAAAAGAGUGACUGUUUUAAAUGUUAUUUCUUCUCCCUUUACAAUUGCAACACAUUUCUAUCUAGUCCCAUCCUACAGCCAAGUGUUAAUAUGUUCUCAUUCAGUGGAUGAUGGAUUCUUUACUUUUCAUCUUAAAAUUAAAUAGCUAUGUUCUAUACCAGAGAAGUGUUCACUGGCUACUAGAUAAUUCACUCCCAAAUGAAAAAUAAAUGACAUUAAAUACAUAAUUCUGUCACUACUAGAGCACUGUAUUAUUUUGUUGUCAUAGUCAAUAGAUACUUGUUCACCUUUUGGCAGCAGUGAAGGUAAUUUUAAACUAUAGAAAGGAAAAAGUUCCAGUUAUACAGGAAUUAAUAUUCUAAAAGAAAUGUGUUUUCUGAAUUUAAUCUUUUAGAUCAAAAUGAUAGAAUUGUAAAGUCAAAAGGAGAAAAAUUGAGGAUUGGCUGGUUUGUAUUAUCAUCAGUUCUCAAAUGUUUAUAAGGGCCAUCUAAGAGUGAAACGACAAUGGAAACACAUGAGAAAACCAGGGGAAGCAGAGGUAAGAACCUGUUCAAGAAGGCACAUCUCAGAUGUGGAAGAACCAUGAUUCAACUCGAGUCUGUCUGCUUCCCAAGACUGUGGUAUUUAAACAGCUUAUAAUGAAAAUUCCUUCUAUAGCUCCCCAUAAAAGGGCACACAGUUCUUUCUUAACGUAUUAUUUCAGGCAUUCAUUCACCAUUGAUGUAUUUGUGAAGGUGUUCUCUCUAAAUAAACUAUUGGGACCUUACUUGACUGUGA
rnacentral:lncRNA from 10 species